GACAGGUGGUGCAUGGUUGUCGUCAGCUCGUGUCGUGAGAUGUUGGGUUAAGUCCCGCAACGAGCGCAACCCCUAUUGUUAGUUGCCAUCAUUCAGUUGGGCACUCUAGCGAGACUGCCGGUAAUAAACCGGAGGAAGGUGGGGAUGACGUCAAAUCAUCACGCCCCUUAUGACCUGGGCUACACACGUGCUACAAUGGUUGGUACAACGAGUUGCGAGUCGGUGACGGCGAGCUAAUCUCUUAAAGCCAAUCUCAGUUCGGAUUGUAGGCUGCAACUCGCCUACAUGAAGUCGGAAUCGCUAGUAAUCGCGGAUCAGCACGCCGCGGUGAAUACGUUCCCGGGCCUU
rnacentral:rRNA from 1 species